GUUCGGAUCGCAGGCUGCAACUCGCCUGCGUGAAGUUGGAAUUGCUAGUAAUCGCGGAUCAGCAUGCCGCGGUGAAUACGUUCCCGGGCCUUGUACACACCGCCCGUCACACCAUGGAGUUGUAACACCCGAAGUCAGUAUCCUAACCGCAAGGGGGAGCUGCCGAAGGUGGGAUAAGCGACUGGGGUGAAGUCGUAACAAGGUAUC
rnacentral:rRNA from 1 species